CUUGACUAGCUGUUCCCAACCUGCAGUACAUAGGUCAGGACUGGGGUGGAAUGCUUUCAAUUGCCUGAAUAAGUACAUCUCCAACAGUCAAGAAACACGGCUACUUCCAAAACUCAUGAUUUUCAAGAAGUGAUUGAAGAAGCCAGUGUGGGGACUGCAGAAUCGUCCACAAGUUGACAGGUGGUGCUUGAUGGAACUGGCAAAGGCAGUAAAAUCUCAGAGUUCCCAUAAAAUCACUCUCUUCUCUCAAGCCAGAAGAAUCCACAAUAUUUUUCAUGAAGGCUCUAUGGAUGUCAUUAAGGCAGUUUCCGAGCCCUCCAGGUGAUCUUUUGUUGUGACACGGUUUGGAGCAUGGUUCCAUUCCUCAAAGGCAUUGUGUCAUAGAAUUGUGCAGUGAGAAGUCCCACCUACACUGAUGUCAUCUGCCCGUAAUAGAUUUGCUGAGAAUUCCCACAAGAAAAUGAAUCUCAGGACUGUGUAUGGUAACAUAUGCUGGCCAUUGGUGGACUGGCAUCAGCACCAGCCUUUGAAGCGAAUGGUCCCAAGCUCAAAUCUGUCUGGAACUUUGCACACUUUCCAUUGUGCUGCGAUGAGCGCCGAGCUGACAGCUUGGUCUUGUAAAAAGCAGUCAAAUGAUACAGAAACUGCAAAAAUGCUGCCUGAUACACCACAAGGCAUGAAAACGAACAACAACAACAAUAUAGUAACAUAUAUGUACUUCGAUAAUAAAUUUAACUUUGACUUUACCUUUAAAAUAUCGUGAGGGAUUCUGCCUCCACCAUCACAAGUGGCAGUAUGUUGCAGAUUCCAACUAGCUGCUAGUAAGAAUAUUCUUCCUCAAAUCACUUGAAAAUGUCCCUCCUGUCAUGAUAAAUAUAUGUGAUGUACUUCGUAUUAUUCACUACUUCGGUGAGUAAAGUGUUUCUUACUAUCCAUUCCAUAAUCUGUAUACUUUGAAGUUAACUUCACUGUAGCAAUUUACAUACUUCAACCAUUGAUCCAGCAUUCUGUUUUCUUUAUUGUGCCUCAAUGCACUGAUGUGAUGAAGUAAUCUGUGUGGAUGGCAUGCUAAACAAAGUUUCCCAUUAUAUAUCCUCCAGCAUUUUGUAUGCUGCUCCAGAUUCUAACAUCUGCAAUGUCUCCAUGACAUUUGGCCCAUCUACCUGCAUUGCUGCUUUCCAGGAAAUAAGGAUUUGAACUGCAUGGUCUCUCUGAGUAUAACAUUCCUGGGCACACUGCUGUUUACUGCCCUAUUUUAUUGAGAUUAAGUUUCAAACAUCAGUGCACAGCCUGAUUUUCCAAUUGAGCUAAACUCUGCUGAAGGUAACUUUCCUCCUUAUUUAGAAAACCAUUGAUUUUCAUGUCAUUCAUAGACUUAUUAGCCAUAUAUCCUAAAUGUCCUCACACGAUAAAAACCUGAAAAUCACAAUGGACCUAAACUAAAGCCCAUUCGCACUUGUCCCUGUGCCCACUCAUGCAGACUUAAUUUUCCGAAGAAAUUAAAUGAGAUGACUUGCUGCACUUAAGGUAUCAAGUGAGUCUCUGAACUGAAAGAUAGCCUCAGACAUUGUAUCAUGAACAUCCUAACAAUCUACCACCAUCAAAGAACAAAACAUAAGAACCAAGAUACAGGAGCAAGGGUAGACUUCCUGGCCCCUCAAUGUAAUCAUGGCUGAUCUGCUCCUGUCUUCAAUUUUUUUCUCUGUGCCAGUUCCAUAUUCCACAAAUAUAUCUGCCUCUUCUUUAAAAAACAUCAGAUAUCUUCCUCUCUAGACCUCUGUGGUGGGGAAUUCCCAAUAGUCAACAUCCUCUGCAAGAAGGUAUUACUUAACACCCUAGUGUUAAAUAACCACCCUGAUCUUGUAAGUAUAUCAUUUUGUAGUGACUUUCCAACUAAUGCAGAUAUCCCUAUACCGAUCUGACAUGUCCCCUUUGGAUCUCAUAAGCUUCAGGAAAAUCACUCCUCAUUCCUUAAAUAUCCAAAGAACAAAGAUAUAACUUUUUAUGCUUGUGAUAAGACAACCAUCUCCUAUUAAAAUAACAGCCUUUCUGGACUGCUUCCAAUGUAAGUAUAUGGAGUCAUAGAAAAGUACAGCACAGAAACAGGCUCUUCAGCCUGUCUGGUCCAUGCCAAACAAUUUUAACUGCCUACUCCCAUCGACCUACACCAGGACCAAAGCCCUCCACAUCCAUUCAUGUACCAAUCCAAACUUCUCAUUAAUGUUGAAAUCGAGCUUCUAUGCACCACUUGCACUGGCAGUUCAUUCCACACUCUCAAGACCCUCUGAGUGAAGAAGCUUCCCCUCAUGUUCCCCUUAAACUUUUCAUCUUUCACCCUUAACCCAUGACCUCUAGUUGUAGUCCCACCCAACCUCAGUGGAAAAAGCCUGCUUGCAUUUACCCUAUCUAUACUCAUCAUAAUUUUGUAUGCCUCUAUCAAAUCUCCUCUCAAUCUUUUACGUUCGAAGGAAUAAAGUCCUAAUCCAUACAAUCUUUCCUUAUAACUCAGGUCCUCCAGAGCCAGAAACAUCCUUGUAAAUUUUCUCUAUACACUUUCAACCUUAUUUACAUCUUUUCUAUAGAUAGGUGACCAAAACUGCACACAAUAUUCCAGAUUAAGCCUCAUCAACGACUUAUACAAUUUCAACAUAACAUCCCACCUCCUGCACUCAAUACUUGGAUUUAUGAAGGCCAAUAUAAAGAAAACUUUACGAUCCUAUCUAUCUGUGACAUCCCUUUGAAUGAAUCAUGGACCUGUAUUCCCAGAUAUCUUUGUUCUACUACACUUCUCAGUGUCCUACCAUUCAAUGUGUAAAACCUACCUUGGUUGGUUCUACCAAAGUGCAACAUCUCACAGUUGUCUGCAUUAAAUUCCAUUGCUAUUUUUCAGCCUAUUUUUUCCAGUUGCUCCAGAUCCUACUGCAAGCCAUGAUAGUCUUUAUUACUAGCCACUACACCACCAAUCUUGGUGUCUUCCACAAAUUUGUUGAUCCAAUUAACCAUAUUAUCGUCUAGAUCAUUGUUAUAGAUGAUAAACAACAAAGGACCCAGCACCAAUCCCUGCAGCAAUUCAAUAGACACAGGCCUACAGUCAGAGAGACAACCACUCUUCUCCCACAAAGCCAAUGUUAGAUUUUACUACCUCAUUUUGAAUGCCGAGCAAAUGAACCUUCUUGACCAACCAUGCCCGACCUUGUCAAGUGUUUUGCUAAAAUCCAUGUAGACACCAUUCACUGCUAUGCCUUCAUCCACUUUCCUUCUAACUUCCUUGAAAAAAUCUAAAAAAUUGGUUAGACAUGACCUACUAUGCAUAAAGCCAUGCUGGCUACCCCUGAUCUGUCCAUGUCUAUCCAAACACUCAUAAAUCCAGUCCCUUGGAAUACCCUAAAAUACCUUUCUUAAAUAUUCAUACAAAAACAGAAUACAGAAGUAACUUUACACAGCACUCCAGGUGCAACCUUGCCAGUCCCCCAAGCCCUUUUUGUUAACCCUAUAUUCAUUUCUCAAGUUCUGGUAAAGUCCUGUCCUUUACUAAAUGGCAGAUGGCAUUUAAAAAGCAACUACAUUGAUGAGUUGGGAGAGCAUUAAAGAGUCAGAUAGGUUUCUACCUAUAAUAACUUUAGAUAGGAUGGUUCCUUCUCAACCUUACAAAAAUUCCAGCUAAUUAACUGAAGAUAAAUUCUGUAGCUGCCAUUUGUGAUUGAACUUGGGUCUCAUUGUUAAUCCAGCCUGCUGGAGUAUAUCUAGUAUUCCAACACAAUGUUAUCACUGUACUCUUUGAGCUCCUGUUUAAAUAUUCCGGAAGAUAGAAAUUUUUAACAACUAAAUUUCAAAAGAAAACAAAAACAAUGUACUUUCAAAACUGAAGAUAUUAAUAGCAGUAAAUUAAUUAAAAUACUUACCUGCACUUUUAUCUUUCUAUUGUGGGAGCAACAUCAAUGAAUUGAAUGGAGUCAGAGUUCUCCCUGAUGGGGCCAGUGUGCCCAGCCUGACUUGCAACAUCCAUACCUUAUGCUAGAAGUUAGAGAUGAGCUGACAUUGUUGGAUAAGUGCAUGGGUGGGAGGGAUAUGAAGGUUUAUGGUCCAGGUGCAGUUCGAUGUGACUAGGCAGAGGAACAGUUCAGCAUGAACUAGACAAGCCAAAGGGUCUGAUUCUGUGUUGUAGUGCUCUAUGACUCUAUGAUAUGAACUAUCAACUGUCUGUCAGCUCAAACUGACCUCUUAAGUUUCUUCCUGUUUGUAUCCAUGAAUUUGAAAUACUACAUUUGUUAAUACCUAUUCUUUUGACACACAAGAAGGUUAAGGAUAUACUUAUGAGAUGGGAUAUGAUAAGAACAUCUCUUUUAGUAGUUAUAGAAUAAUUGCUAAGUGCUGAUAAAUAUGAUUUGUAUAGAUGAAUAUUUGAUGGUUGGCAUGAAAAUAGUGGGCAGAAGGGCCUGUUUCUAUAGGGUAAAACUCCAAGACUCUAUAAACGAACAUCUAAGGAAUAAGGAAUGAAAAUCAUACAACUUCUAUCAUAGGCAGGGAAUUUGUUUGAUAAGCUUACUAUCAUACAAUCAAAAUGCAAAUUUAAACUACUUUUUUUAAUUGCCAAAUGAGCUUGGAACAUUAUCAGCAAUUUUCAACCACUGGCCAUCCAUACCACAUAUAAAAAUAUGAAUAUGACUCUUCAUCUCAUAAUCUUGAUAUUUGUUGCUUACUUAUUUCUUAAUAUUAUUAUUUCUUUUUUUUUCUUUUGUUUUUGCACAGUUUGUUGUUGACUGGCUGAACACCCUUUUGGGUGUGGUCUUCCAUUGAGUCUAUUAUGGUUAUUGGACUUUCUGAGCACGCCUGCUAGAAAACAAGUCUCAGAGUUGUAUCUAUAUUUUGAUAAUAAAUUUCCUUUGAACUUUGAA